ACCUCCCGCCGCCGACCCGGCCGCCACCAAGCGCCGCCUGCCCCUGCAGCCACCCAGCGCCGCCCCACUUCACUGGAUCCAUCUCUGAUCCACACCUGCCCCUUCACUGGAUCCAGACGCCGCGAUGGGCACCCUGACGGCGACCCAUCCGCCCCGACCUCCCCCAUGCCAUGGCUUCCCCUCCUUCUGAUCUGGCUGCCAUGGCCUCCACCAUCUAUUCCGCUGCUUCUCGCAGCUGUGGCUGACGAGGAGGACGGUGGCUGUGGUGGCAUGCUCCUCUCCUUAUCCCCCCAAUGGCCUUGCACUGUUGAAAUGGGAAAAAUGGUACGUACAAGUUUCCUGGGGCGGCGUCGGGCAGUUUGGUAGGGAACGGGAGCUUCCUGAUCCUGCUCCGACCCAUCUUCUUCCCCCUAGUGCACUGCAGUUGUUCAUUAUUUUCAUCUCGUGGUGUGCCGUUUGCAAAAAAUUGUGGCCGUGCAGCUCGUCGUUGGUGUUUUGUAGUUCUGCGCGUGGGGCGGUGUGGUUCUUUUUUUGGCACGCAGAUUGCAAAAAAAUUGUAGUGUGGUUGGGCGCCCUGUGGAGGUGCAGUUUGUCCACGGGUCCUUGUUUUGGUGUUUCAAGGAAAAAGUAUGAUGUUUGGGUUGUCGUUCUGUUAAAACACACAUAAACUUUCGACCAUAUGGUAUUUUGCACCGUAAAAAAUAAUGAUGUAGUAGAGUACA